ensembl:lncRNA
GGAGAUCCUUCUAUGAGCCCAGGACACAGUACCUAAAACCACAUGGGAAGUGCGACGAUGGUACCUGCUGUGUGACCACUGGAUUUUCCUGUUGAAAUUCCCAUUCCUGGUUCCUAUGCAGGGCCGCUUCACCUCCACGCACAUGUAAGAAGUGAGAGCAAGGUCCAUUCUGAGCUGAACACCAGUGAGGCACCAUGCUUAAGUAAUUGUUUCAGUCUUCUGAGUAUUCACUGUACGUUUCAAGAAGAGUUGUUUAUGAGAUCAUGAAAUCAGCGCAUCCUGAGGCCAGCUGUAACUUAGAAAGUACCAUAAUCAGAUGGAAGUAUCCUUAAGUUGAGCCAGUGAGUCUGUAGGGAGCAUUGCACUGCAACUUAAACGUCCGUAUGUGCAGCAAACCUGAACCCCUCUGUGAAAUGGGAGAGUGAAUGGUAGCAUUUAACUGCUCAUAAACCACGGACAUUAUUUUAUAGGCUUUGGAAGAUCUGACUCCUACAGCCUGCUUGUGCUUGGUUGUCUUUGUUGUAGAAAAUGUCCAGGUGGCAAACCUGCCCCUCUCUGAACACCCUGGCAGCUCCAUCACUGAAGCCAGUCCUUGAACCCCAUGAAAACAGCCACCACGUGUUGGAUUGCCCACAGCCAAGCCAUCCCAGCACCACGCUCUUGCUGUGCCAAGCUGAGUGUGAGGACAUGGCACACCGGCCCUGCCGUGUCAGUGGUGGGGAUGCACACUGCAAUGAAGUGUCAAGCUGCUUCCACAGGCUGCUUGGAGAGCACAGCUUCAUUUCUCACUAUGGAAACAGUACAGCCAAAGUUACAACAGCAAAGCUUCUGGAAACUUCUCUUUGGCUCGGGGUGCUUUGUAAGGGCUGGCUCUUGGUUACGUGGGGUGCUCCAUGUGCAUACCUGGAAGAACAUC